rnacentral:rRNA from 1 species
UUCUCCUACGGGGGGCAGCAGUGAGGAAUAUUGGUCAAUGGGCGGAAGCCUGAACCAGCCAAGUCGCGUGAGGGAAUAAGGCCCUACGGGUCGUAAACCUCUUUUGCCGGGGAGCAAGGGCGGGGACGUGUCCCGGCCCGGAGAGUACCCGGAGAAAAAGCAUCGGCUAACUCCGUGCCAGCAGCCGCGGUAAUACGGAGGAUGCGAGCGUUAUCCGGAUUUAUUGGGUUUAAAGGGUGCGUAGGCGGCAUUAUAAGUUAGUGGUAAAAUAUUGGGGCUUCACCUCACUACGCCAUUAAUACUGU